AUCAUAUCAUAUUAGCCUCCCUACUGGCCCCAGUGUGUGAUGUUCCCGUCCCUGCGUCCAAGGGUUCUUAUUGUUCAACUACCACUUAUGAGUGAGAACAUGUGGUGUUUGGUUUUCUGCUCCUGUGUUAGUUUGCUGAGAGUGAUGGUUUCCAGCUUCAUCCACGUCCCUGCAAAAGACAUGAAGUCAUUCUUUUUUAUGGCUGCAUAGUAUUCCAUGGUGUAUAUGUGCCACAUUUUGUUUAUCCAGUCUAUCAUUGAUGAGCAUUUGGGUUGGUUCCAUGUCUUUGCUAUAGUGAAUAGUGCUGCAAUAAAGAUGUG
rnacentral:lncRNA from 1 species